rnacentral:tRNA from 1 species
AAGGCCCUAGCUUAAAUUAAAGUAUCUGGGUUGCAGUCAGAAGAUGUUGGAUAAAGUCCUGCGGGUUUUA